UACAGAGGCCUCGAGCGUUAGGCGGAAUCACUGGGCUUAAAGCGUGUGUAGGCGGACUUCUAAGUACCUUGUGAAAUCCCACGGCUUACCCGUGGAGCUGCUCGGUAUACUGGUUGUCUUGAGCCACCUAGGGGCGAGUGGAACAAAUGGUGGAGCGGUGAAAUGCGUAGAUAUCAUUUGGAACGCCAAUGGUGAAAACAACUCGCUGGGGGUGUGCUGACGCUGAGACACGAAAGCCAGGGGAGCGAACGGG
rnacentral:rRNA from 1 species